rnacentral:rRNA from 1 species
CCAAGGAGUCUAACAUGUGCGCGAGUCAUUGGGUCUUGCUCAGGCCCAAAGGCGCAAUGAAAGUGAAGGCCGGCUCGGUCGGCUGCGUUGGGAUCCCGCACUCAUUUUGGGUGCGGGCGCACCAACGGCCCGUCCCGAUCGCCGCGUCGACGGGGCGGAGUGAGAGCGUACACGUUGGGACCCGAAAGAUGGUGAACUAUGCCUGGGCAGGACGAAGCCAGAGGAAACUCUGGUGGAGGUCCGCAGCGAUUCUGACGUGCAAAUCGAUCGUCAGACCUGGGUAUAGGGGCGAAAGACUAAUCGAACCAUCUA